GACUUGCGCCGUGGUGAUUUGGCCGGCCGGCUUGCAGCCACGUUAAACAAGUCGCUAAAGGGCCGUGGGACGAUGUUU
rnacentral:ncRNA from 2 species